CUGCCACGGCGUUAGGUUUAAAGCGUGGGCCCGCUACCUAGCGAUUCUGGGUCAUGCCCAGGAUGGAUUCACACUUGCCAUCGCUGAUGCAAGGUUAGGCGUUAAGUAAUGUAAAGGCUACGUUGUGACCUCUAGACUGCAUUCAAUGUGUAGAAUGUGGUGGUAUCGACGGGUACCGAACAAACUAGAGGGAUUCACGUCAUGUGGGUAAAGCUGUACAAACUCUGCAGAGUUCUCUAAAACUAAUCGAUUAGCCUUGCUCACGGUCAUGAGCGACAUAGUGAAUUGUCAUGGGUAUAGACUUAUGUUUUAUAAAUGUGUGUCGAGCACCAAAAAUUCAUAUAGUCCAGUGAUAUUUGUGGUCACCACAUGAUCUUGGCUGAGUGGGAUCCAUACAUGCAUAAAUAGCCACUCAUAUCUCAAUGUGUUCAUGACCACAACAUAACACCAUUCGAUAUGAACUCUGCGAUGCCGAAUAAUGAGCAAAGGAGAUAUUGCUGGGACUCAGCGUGCCAGUCAACUUCAGCCUGAGACAUACCCGUCAAACCAUUCGAAGAUGGCGACCAGAUGUGUUACACAUCUCAGGAGACUUGACUCAAAUUGCUGAGCUCUACAACAUCUCAAUUGCUCAAAAUUCUUACUCAUGCUUAGCUAGCCCCAAGAAGAUGCUAGCUUCGUACUUUCAUCUAAGCCAUGGUAUUAACUCAAAUACAUGUAAGGUGACUUAGACAUAACUAGAGGCAGAUAACACAGUUACUUACAUAUAGCCAUUCGACUAAUUAGAUAAAGUCCUUCGGAAGCAUGUCUACCCAAAUUCCCCACAAGCAACCGACUAGGGUAAACCCCUUGAUAGGACCAAUCCUGAGAGAAACAACUAUUCCCGCAACACUCAAUUACCUGCAAAAAAAAUGGAUAUUCCAGUCUAACAAGUGUUAGUACAUUAAUCGAGUUAAUGUACUGGCAAACGCACAGUCAAACCUACAUACAUGAAGGCUAGAUUCAAAGAGAGGCUUAUAUGUAGUCGGGGUUUUCAGCAUAAAGCUAAUUUUAGUUCACAAUUCAUUUGCAACGCAAUUUGAACAAAACAUUUCAACAAUUAUGUAAAGCAUAAUAUUCAUGGCAUGAUACCAACAUAAAUAGAUAGUAGCAUUUUAUCACAAUCCAAUCCGAAAAUAGGGCAAUCACAUCACAUAUAUCAAUCUCAUUAUCAUUCCAAAACAUUUAGUUUCAAAGGCAUUUAAGAAAACAUAAAAGUAUACCCACAUCACAUCACUAUGCCGCUCAUGACCGUGAGCACGGCUAAUCGAUUAGUUUUUAUAACUCUGCAGAGCUUGUACAACUUUACCCACAUGGUAUGAACUCUCUAGUUUAUCUUGUGCUGGCCCAGCACUACCACACUCUACAUGUUGAAUGCGGUCUAGAGGUCAUAACGAGGCUUUUACAUUAAGUAUUGUCUAACCUUGUAUGAGCACGAUAAGUGUGAAUCCACCCUAGGCUUAAGUCCUAGAGUCGUUAGGUAGCGGGCCCACACCUUAAACCUAACGCCGUGACGGCGAACACAUCCGUUCCCUCAUGAGGCACGUUAUCGUUGUAUUGGACAGACUUAGACGCCCAUGCUGUGAGACAGAACAUUACACUCGUUCCCCCACGGUAAUCACACCCAGCUAGAAUAUUCGCUAGCAAUAAACACAACACAAUCAUUAACACAUACAUGGGUAGUUCCUAUAGAUAGCCCACAGUACACUCGUGGCCACUACCUCUACUACAACGGCCUCCCGAAUGCAAGGUCAGACAAAUGCUUAACUUAAUAGGCCAAGGUUAUCCCCAUACAUAACACAUGUGGAUGUACGGUAAACAUAAGUGGGUGAUAUGUAGUUCAGUCCUUAAACAACUCAGGCGGACACUCCCCCUAUCGAUAUGCAACUACCACCAUAUGCAUAUCACUUGCCGCCUAAGUCUGAAAUUCACAUUCCUUUUAUUUUAGUUCACAAAUAAGCAGAGAACUCCUCUCUGUUCAUAAUUUCUAAAAUGAUUCAAAUAACAUAAUAAGUGAUCCAUAACCAUGAUUUAUUUAUUACUAAGCAAAGCUAAGCACUUGCAUUUUUACAAAAAGCGUAGGGGUUUCCAUUUGAGUACAAAUAGGGUACUCUAAACCAUUCUAAGGUUACAAACAUCAUGAAUAACAAUUGUCAAGGAGGAUUAUGCAACAAAUAGGUCAUAACUACCAUUUCAUCACUUUCAAAUAAUUUUUCCAAAUAUAACUAUCUAACGCAUGCAAUUUUGCAAUAGAAAACGUUUGCCCAAUAAAACAUAGGAUCAAAGUGUUCAAAGGAGGAGGGCAACACUUGCCUUGAUUGAUGUCCUUACUGGAGUCAGCGAAAGGUUAUAUCUUCUCACCAACAACGUAAUCGUCUUCUAAAAGAAAUAUCGAUAAUCGGGUAAAUACCGAAACAUACAAAUAUUCAAAAUGUUCUAAAAUGCAUGAAUUCACUAGUGUGGUUAGAUGCUGUGGGUUUAUAAUUUGUGGUGAAGGAAAUUCUAUUUUAUCAUAUUGCAUUUGUGAGUUAUAAAUUCUUAAAGUCUAAAACUAGAAAUAACUUAAUUAGGCUCUAUUUAGCUCUAAGUGCAUUUUGGGUUCAAGAUUGGCAAAGCCUUAGGUUUCUGCAGCAGAGAGUAAUUUCUCCAAAGCUUAACAAAAUUUAGUUCACAAUAUUUAAAGCUAGCAUGAAUUUAUUAUGAAUUUAACAAUUUAAAUGACAUAUUAUAAGUCUUACUUAUUAUACAACUUUUAAAUAUGUUUUUGGUACUAUAUGUACUACAUUUAAAUUUAUGAAAACUAAGUCUAUGAGAUUUAUAACCCAACCCAUCUGGAAUUAUAUUAUUUGGAGUUAGAAUGAAUUUUGUAUGAAUUUUAUAAAUUAGUGAAUGCUAUAUAUUAAGUAUUCCAUAUAUUAAUUUUUAAAGACAUUUCUUCUACUGUAGGCAACAUGUUUUAUCUUACCAAAUUAAAGUUUACAAUUUUGUGAAUCCAUAGAAAUUUAGUUCACCUCAAAUGGAGUUAAAAUGAAUUUUAUAUGCAUUUUACAAGUUUCACUCAUUUUCCUGUUGAAAAAUUAUUGUUUUGGAUAUUUCCUUUAAUAUUUCCAAUUUUUAAAGAUAAUGGGUCCACUAGUCAGCCUCUGUACUUUUGCAGAAAAGUCCCUGGGUUUCCAAGGAUUCAACCCGAAGUCCCCAGCACAUGUCUAAAUACAUUUUCAUUAAGAGUUCUCAAAUUUCUGAUUAAUUGCUAGUAGGUCCUUGGUCCCACAUGUCAUAGGUUAUACAAUUACACAUUAGUACAGAAGGUUUUGUCUUCCUUACAAAUUAUACCUCGGCUACUUAUAUGCAGUGGGGCCCGCAGGUCAGUGGCUUAGUGAGAGAGAGACCGGAGGCAGCGGCUGAAGGCGGCGACCGACGAGCUUGUCGUCGACGCCGGCGGCAAACAGCGGGUUUUCGCGAGGUGCGACCCAGAGAGAAGAGGUGGAGGAGGGGCUGGCGAUCCCGUCGGUGGUCAUGUUGUUGGCUGUGGUGGUCGGAGUCGACGCCGGCGACGUUGUGAGUGGCGGAGUGCUUCGGCAUGCUAAGGCAUCUCGGUCUCUAGCUCAAUUCAGUGGGGUUUCAUGCAUGCAUUCGCACCUACGGAGAUCGUGGUUGCUUACUUGAGGUCGCGCUGGGCUCGGCGAGGCUUGGACAGCAGUGGUGACGCGAAGACAACUCCGGCGGCGGCGGAAUCGGGCAGGGCGACGGUGACAGCGAAGAGCGGCCAACCUCCUGCCAAAGUGACACAUGCGCAAGGUUAGAGAUGCCCUAGGGAUGCUACCCACGAGAGGAAUUGAGCCGGAACUCACCCGAGGACGAGAAAUCGACGGCGAUGGCCAGCGGCCGGACUUGGAGAAGACGAAAAGGUUCUCUUCAACGGCAGUGACUUAGCUUGAGUUCACUUGGGCGUCUUGCGCCUGGGAUCUAGACGACUGCCCUGGCGCAGUGGCUCAGCUAGGGUUUCACCGGGUCGACGGGAACGGCGAUGCGAACUGUGGCUGCGCUCUGGACACCGAGGACGCCGAUGAGUUUAGCACAUGGUGGAUAGGGGAAAGCUACCGAGGGUUUAGGCGUGGAUAGGGGAUCGUGUUCCCACGGUUGGUCCGCGGUGAAGCUCACCAGAGAAAGAUGGCGACAGUGGUGGAUCCCGACGGCGUCGGAGAAGAUGGAUUCGCUCCCGGAGCUCCCGAGACGAUCUCGCUAGGGUUUUGGGAGGAACGCGGCGAGGAUGAAAGGCUUCGUCGGUGGGCAA
rnacentral:lncRNA from 1 species